CCCUUAGACGUUCUGGGCCGCACGCGCGCUACACUAACCAGUGCAACAAGCAUCCGUCCUUGGCCGACAGGCUCGGGCAAUCUUUGAACGCUGGUCGUGAUGGGGAUAGACUUUUGCAAUUUUUGGUCUUCAACGAGGAAUUCCUAGUAAACGCAAGUCAUCAACUUGCAUUGAUUACGUCCCUGCCCUUUGUACACACCGCCCGUCGCACCUACCGAUUGAAUGGUCCGGUGAAGCCUCCGGAUUGGCGCGCACCUCGGUGCCGCCGAGAAGUUGGCUAAACCUUACCAUUUAGAGGAAGGUGAAGUCGUAACA
rnacentral:rRNA from 1 species